rnacentral:misc_RNA from 1 species
UCAUCUUUCUGUCGUGACACAUCGGGUCAGCUCAGGGGGGAGGAGCGAAAAGCAAACGCUUCGCUUGACCCUCAUCGACGUCCUGCAGAACCUCGAG